rnacentral:rRNA from 1 species
GACGAACGCUGGCGGCGUGCUUAACACAUGCAAGUCGAGCGGUAAGGCCCUUUCGGGGGUACACGAGCGGCGAACGGGUGAGUAACACGUGGGUGACCUGCCCUCAGCUCUGGGAUAAGCCUGGGGAAACUGGGUCUAAUACUGGAUAUGACUCCACGGUGCAUGUCGUGGGGUGGAAAGCCUUGUGCGGCUGAGGAUGGGCCCGCGGCCUAUCAGCUUGUUGGUGGGGGGA